rnacentral:rRNA from 1 species
GUGCCAGCAGCCGCGGUAAUACGUAGGUGGCAAGCGUUACUCGGAAUCACUAGGCGUAAAGCGCAAGCAGGCGGUUCGGUAAGUCUUUUGUGAAAGCUCCCGGCUCAACUGGGAGAGGUCAAGGGAAACUGCCGGGCUAGAGUGUGGUAGAGGAAGCUGGAAUUCCCGGUGUAGCGGUGAAAUGCGUAGAUAUCGGGAGGAAUACCUAUGGCGAAAGCAGGCUUCUGGGCCAUCACUGACGCUGAGUUGCGAAAGCUAGGGGAGCAAACAGGAUUAGAUACCCUGGUAGUCC